GAGAAUCUAGUGAAAGCAGAACCCGCGCCUUAAGGAAGAGUAGGAGAAGUUGGCAAGUAGAUUCCCAUUCCUUGGGCUACGAAACUCUUCUUCCCAUCUCGAAGAGAAAUGGGUUAACAAGAGAAAGUAGUAAACUAACCAUCCUCUAAGAAGGAAGUAAGCUGCCCUCUAAUCCUAACAACUACCGUAUUGGUCCUACCCUCGGGUGAUUUCCCCUCUUCUUCUUUUUUUACAUGAGACCAUGAGUUCAGAGUCGACUUGAGCGAGAAGAAUUUUUAUUUUGUCACAGAAUUUUUUCCAUUUUGAUUUCUCUUUAUUUAUCGUGCUUUUACCAUGUCUCCCGAACAAUCUCAGUACAUAUGGCGGAAGACGAUUCCACAUAUCGAGGUCGAAAUGGGAUCAGGUAUUUUCACGUCUUACCGUAGUGCCCGGUUUGUCUUAAUUUCCUAUUGACGAACAAGAAGGAAAAUGGAACUCUUUUCUUUUUGACUCGCCCCCGGCUACGUAUCCUUUUGAUUUUAGCUCUUCUCGCUCAAGUCGACUCUGAACUCAUGGUCUCAUGUAAAAAAAGAAGAAGAGGGGAAAUCACCCGAGGGUAGGACCAAUACGAUAGUUGUUAGGAUUAGAGGGCAGCUUACUUCCUUCUUAGAGGAUGGUUAGUUUACUCCUUGCUCUUGUUAACCCAUUUCUCUUCGAGAUGGGAAGAAGAGUUUCGUAGCCCAGGGAAUGGGAAUCUACUUGCCAACUUCUCCUACUCUUCCUUAAGGCGCAGGUUCUGCUUUCACUAGAUUCUCUAAAGCUAAAAUCAAAAGUGGGUCGCCAAAAGGAGUAGACAAACUAAGUGAAAAGUCUGUUGAAGACCAGAUGCCCUAACGUCAUAACAAUUAUAUGUAACAGCAUGGCUAGAAAGAAUAAAUUAAAUUGACCAAAAACAAGGACAUGACGGAAUCACCGACCCGAAAGAGAUGUAUCGAAGCUCUCAAGCGGCCCGGCCUAU
rnacentral:lncRNA from 1 species